rnacentral:rRNA from 1 species
CCGGCACGGGUGAAUAACACGUAUGCAAUCCACCUGUAACAGGGGGAUAACCCGGAGAAAUCCGGACUAAUACCCCAUAAUAUGGGCGCUCCGCAUGGAGAGCCCAUUAAAGAGAGCAAUUUUGGUUACAGACGAGCAUGCGCUCCAUUAGCCAGUUGGCGGGGUAACGGCCCACCAAAGCGACGAUGGAUAGGGGUUCUGAGAGGAAGGUCCCCCACAUUGGAACUGAGACACGGUCCAA